GACGAACGCUGGCGGCGUGCUUAACACAUGCAAGUCGAACGAUGAAGCCUAGCUUGCUAGGUGGAUUAGUGGCGAACGGGUGAGUAAUACGUGAGUAACCUACCUUUAACUCUGGGAUAAGCCUGGGAAACUGGGUCUAAUACCGGAUACGACCAAUCUCCGCAUGGGGUGUUGGUGGAAAGCGUUAUGUAGUGGUUAUAGAUGGGCUCACGGCCUAUCAGCUUGUUGGUGAGGUAACGGCUCACCAAGGCGACGACGGGUAGCCGGCCUGAGAGGGUGACCGGCCACACUGGGACUGAGACACGGCCCAGACUCCUACGGGAGGCAGCAGUGGGGAAUAUUGCACAAUGGGCGCAAGCCUGAUGCAGCGACGCCGCGUGAGGGAUGACGGCCUUCGGGUUGUAAACCUCUGUUAGCAGGGAAGAAGAGAAAUUGACGGUACCUGCA
rnacentral:rRNA from 1 species